CUUGGUUUCGGAAGAACAAGCAGGCUUCGUGCCUGGCAAGCAGGUGGGAGACAAUACCAGAUUUUGCAUGGACCUCAUCGACUGGGCAACUCGUCAACGUGUGUCCGGGGUCUUAAUGGCCUUGGACGCAGAAAAGGCUUUCGAUCGCCUUAAUUGGACGUACAUGGAGACUGUUUUACAAGCUUAUGGAUUCUCGAAAACCUUCAUUACGAGCAUUAUGGCCCUCUACUCCGCGCCAUCGGCGAAAGUACUAAACUCAGGAUUCCUAUCUAAAAGCUUUGAUAUCUCCAAUGGUACGAGACAAGGGUGUCCCCUAUCCCCCCUCAUAUUUAUCUUAUGUUUAGAGCCUCUCAUACGAACAAUCAAACAAGACCCCUUACUGCCAGGCUUUAUCACACCAGCAGGAGAAAAGAAGCUGGCCUUAUUUGCGGACGAUAUUAUUCUUUUUUUAGCAAACCCUAGAAGAGCCAUUCCCCAUCUCAUGUAUACUCUUGCCUCAUAUGGUAACUUGUCAUUUUACAAAAACAACAUCAGCAAAACACAAAUACUCCCUCUAAACCUCGAACCCCAGGUCACAGCUGACUUGAAAUUACAAUUCCCCUUUGAUCGGCGCCAGACCUCUGUUACGUAUUAAGGUAUCAAACUCACACUAUCACACUCUCAAACUAUAAAAGAAAAUCAUGAGGCAGUCCUACUGAAAAUAUCCAACCAACUGAAAUCCUGGGAUAAUUUGAACACCUCUUGGAUAGGAAGAGUGAAUUCGGUUAAAAUGAUGGCGCUCCCUCAUAUUCUAUAUCUCUUCAGGACACUACCCAUCACUCUUCCCAAAUCAAUUCUUAUGAAAUUCCAAUCAACUAUCAACGGGCACAUCUGGAAAAGAAAACCUCCGAGAGUCGCUGCUCACUCCCUAUGGAACCCCAUCCAUCAAGGUGGCCUGAGCGUUCCCAAUAUCACAAACUACUACAAAGCAUCCACGCUAGCACAGAGCCUGGACAUUAUGUCAGGAAAAGCCAGCCCAAUUUGGCUUCAACUCGAACAAGCAUGUAGCCAACUUGAUUCCCUAUCUGACACUAUGUGGGCCACAAAAAAUGCCCUACCCACCCACCAUUGCCAUGCACUAAAUUUCUUCUGAACUCUUGGACAGCAUGGAGCUCGAACCUCUGCUCCAAGCAAGAACUUCUUUACCUGGCCCCAUUACGAGUCCUAUCCACAUUAUCACCAGACUUGUCGUUAACACACUGGCAUCACCAGGGCUUAACUCAUGUCUACUCCUUGUAUAACUCCAAAGGCCUUCGCACCUUCCCUGACUUACAGGUCUCUCAUAACCUGCCACAUAGGGAUAUCUUCCUCUACUUGAGAGUCAAGCAUAUAUUGCAUACUGCAACUGUUAAAUAUCAAGACCCAUCGAUACUAAGCUCAAUAGGCCACUCUUGCU